GAUGAACGCGUGGCGCGUGCCUAAUACAUGCAAGUCGAGCGAACGGGACGAGGAAGACGUUGCUUCUCUGAUGUUAGCGGCGGACGGGUGAGUAACACGUGGAUAACCUACCUAUAAGACUGGGAUAACUUCGGGAAACCGGAGCUAAUACCGGAUAAUAUUUUGAACCGCAUGGUUCAAAAGUAAAGGACGGUCUUGCUGUCACUUAUAGAUGGAUCCGCGCUGCAUUAGCUAGUUGGUAAGGUAACGGCUUACCAAGGCAACGAUGCAUAGCCGACCUGAGAGGGUGAUCGGCCACACUGGAACUGAGACACGGUCCAG
rnacentral:rRNA from 1 species